CUCCGGCUCUAAAAAGCGACUGUCUCCUCCUCGCAAACGCUGCGCAGUUUUGGUUUCCUUGGGAAGUGACGUAAGAAGACGGCGGGACUGCUAACCGCAGAGUGAGGACUAGAUCCACCAGGUACAACUUUUGAAUAGACAGUAUGACUUACGUGCAGUACUGCUGUGGGAUGCCACAGUGAGAUCCAUAACGGGACAGAAAUCUGUUCUCAAGAUCAAUUAUGGUUUCACCUACUUUUUCAUCACGAGUCAAUGUGUCGUAGUCAUAG
rnacentral:lncRNA from 1 species